rnacentral:rRNA from 1 species
AUUGAACGCUGGCGGCAGGCCUAACACAUGCAAGUCGAACGCGUGGCGGCCGGGUGAGUAAUGUCUGGGAAACUACCUGAUGGAGGGGGAUAACUACUGGAAACUGUAGCUAAUACCGCAUACCAUCGGAUGUCACCAGAUGGGAUUAGCUAGUAGGUGGGGUAAAGGCUCACCUAGGCUACGAUCCCUAGCUGGUCUGAGAGGAUGACCAGCCACACUGGAAAUGAGACACGGUCCAGAUUCCUACGGGAGGCAGCAGGGGGGAAUAUUGCACAAUGGGCGCAAGCCUGAUGCAGCAAUGCCGCGUGUAUGAAGAAGGCCUUCGGGUUGUAAAGUACUUUCAGCGGGGAGGCGUUACCCGCAGAAGAAGCACCGGCUAACUCCGUGCCAGCCGCCGCGGUAAUUC